GAUGAACGCUAGCGGCAGGCCUAAUACAUGCAAGUCGAGGGGCAGCACGGGUAGCAAUACUUGGUGGCGACCGGCGCACGGGUACGUAACACGUAUACAAUCUACCUUUAACAGGGGGAUAGCCCGGAGAAAUCCGGAUUAAUACCCCAUAAUAAAUUGACUGGCAUCAGUUGAUUUUGAAAGUUCCGACGGUUAGAGAUGAGUAUGCGACUGAUUAGCUAGAUGGUGAGGUAACGGCUCACCAUGGCGACGAUCCGUAGGGGAUCUGAGAGGAUGAACCCCCACACGGAUACUGAGACACGGAUCCGACUCCGACGGGAGGAAGCGGUAAGGAAUAUUGGACAAUGCCCGCAAGGGUGAUCCAGCCAUGCCGCGUGCAGGAAGACGGCCCUAUGGGUUGUAAACUGCUUUUACACCGGAGAAAACCUACCCUCGUGAGGGGAGCUGAUAGUAUGGUGAGAAUAAGCAUCGGCUAACUUCGUGCCAGCAGCCGCAGUAACAC
rnacentral:rRNA from 1 species